rnacentral:rRNA from 1 species
AUUGAACGCUGGCGGCAGGCCUAACACAUGCAAGUCGAACGAGUGGCGGACGGGUGAGUAAUGUCUGGGAAACUGCCUGAUGGAGGGGGAUAACUACUGGAAACGGUGGCUAAUACCGCAUACCAUCAGAUGUGCCCAUAUGGGAUUAGCUUGUUGGUGGGGUAACGGCUCACCAAGGCGACGAUCCCUAGCUGGUCUGAGAGGAUGACCAGCCACACUGGAACUGAGACACGGUCCAGAGUACGACGGGAGGCAGAAGUGGGGAAUAUUGCACAAUGGGCGCAAGCCUGAUGCAGCCAUGCCGCGUGUAUGAAGAAGGCCUUGGGGUUGUAAAGUACUUUCAGCGGGGAGGCGUUACCCGCAGAAGAAGCACCGGCUAACUCCGUGCCAGCAGCCGCGGGAAUAC